rnacentral:lncRNA from 1 species
GCAGUAUCAGCUGGCAGUCUGCAGAGUCCAAGACCCACAGCAGAGUCGAGUCAAAAAGAAUGGCUCUGGAGCUGAGAGAUGCUCCUUCAGUAGCCAGCACAAGGAGCAAAACUUGCUUUUCCCAUUGGCUUGGCUUCCUGUAUCACCUCCAGAAAGUAGAGAUUCCACAAGUUUCCUGAUUCUUGAGCUUGCUUGAUCUAGAGAAGAUGAAGAAAUGGCCCACACCACAGCAUGCUCUGGAGAUCAUUAAUCAAAAGGUUGACAGUGAGCUGUCUUGGAGGAUAGGCCCAUGUUGGAUUCUCUCUCUUCACUGGCACCUGAUUCAGAAGUGUACAUCAAGGAAACACCAAUGUUUUUGUCAGACACUGAGG